rnacentral:rRNA from 1 species
CAGUCGCCGCGGGAAUACGUAGGGCGCAAGCGUUAAUCGGAAUUACUGGGCGUAAAGCGUGCGCAGGCGGUUUGUUAAGACAGAUGUGAAAUCCCCGGGCUCAACCUGGGAACUGCAUUUGUGACUGGCAAGCUAGAGUGUGGCAGAGGGGGGUGGAAUUCCGCGUGUAGCAGUGAAAUGCGUAGAUAUGCGGAGGAACACCGAUGGCGAAGGCAGCCCCCUGGGCCAACACUGACGCUCAUGCGCGAAAGCGUGGGGAGCAAACAGGAUUAGAUACCCGGGUAGUCCCUGUCUCUUAUAC